rnacentral:lncRNA from 1 species
AAUGUUCAACUGACAUAACAUAGAUAGCAACAUGAAUAAUUUUGAAAUCAACAUUCAAGUGCUAAAAAUACUACAUAAAACUCCAAAAUCGGUAGUCUGAGCUACUAAGUAAAAUACAACUAAGUGUCAAAUAUAAAAGUAUUGUCUGGAACAAGAAAAGAGUAGAAUAGAUGGGAAGGAGCUCCAUAAGCUGCAAAUCCGAGAACAACAGCUCACAAGAAAGUCUCUGAUCGAGCUCCUAGGCUUCCUCCUAAGCACCCCGGGGCCAAUACCGCGAUCUACACAAAAACAAAAAUAUAGUUCGAGUAUAAAUGACAACGUAUAAUCAAUAAGUAUCAAGUUUAACCCAACAAUAGAGUGACAAAGUUUUUGACAAAAGAUACUCACUAUUCAAAACCUUUUUAAUCCAUAAAUAUGUAGAAAAAAAUAGUGGAUUAAAUAAUAUGGUACACAGUCAAAGAAACAUAGACUAAACAUAUUUUUCAGAUAAAAAUAAUCAAAGGCAUAAUUAAAGAACCAAUAUUCGCAUAUAAAAAUGAUAUGCAUUAACUAACAUAUAUAUGCAUGCUCCUACAUGAGUCUAAAAGUUCAUGCAUAAUAAAGACUCAAGCUUUACCUCAAUCGAUACCUCCCCGGUAUUCAAGA